rnacentral:rRNA from 1 species
UACGAGUGCUCCAAGCGUUAUCCGGAAUCAUUGGGCGUAAAGGGUGUGUAGGCGGCUCUGUUAGUCUUCUGUUAAAUUCUUCGGCUCAACCGGGGGCAUGCAGGGGAAACGGCAGAUCUAGAGGAUGCGAGAGGUAAAUGGAACUCAUGGAGUAGGGGUGAAAUCCGUUGAUAUCAUGUGGAACACCGAAAGCGAAGGCAAUUUACUGGCGCACUCCUGACGCUGAGACACGAAAGCGUAGGUAGCGAAUGGG